AGACACGGACCAGACUCCUACGGGAGGCAGCAGUGAGGAAUAUUGGACAAUGGGCGCAAGCCUGAUCCAGCCAUGCCGCGUGCAGGAUGACGGUCCUAUGGAUUGUAAACUGCUUUUGUACAGGAAGAAACACUGGUUCGUGAACCAGCUUGACGGUACUGUAAGAAUAAGGAUCGGCUAACUCCGUGCCAGCAGCCGCGGUAAUACGGAGGAUCCAAGCGUUAUCCGGAAUCAUUGGGUUUAAAGGGUCCGUAGGCGGUUUAGUAAGUCAGUGGUGAAAGCCCAUCGCUCAACGGUGGAACGGCCAUUGAUACUGCUAAACUUGAAUUAUUAGGAAGUAACUAGAAUAUGUAGUGUAGCGGUGAAAUGCUUAGAGAUUACAUGGAAUACCAAUUGCGAAGGCAGGUUACUACUAAUGGAUUGACGCUGAUGGACGAAAGCGUGGGUAGCGAACAGGAUUAGAUACCCUGGUAGUCCACGCCGUAAACGAUGGAUACUAGCUGUUGGAAGCAAUUUCAG
rnacentral:rRNA from 1 species